rfam:Stegodyphus mimosarum contig21148, whole genome shotgun sequence.
GCCUUCAUGGUGUAGUGGUCAGCACACUCGACGCGCAACCAAGAAGUCCGUGGUUCGAUUCUCGGCGAAGGCG